GAAUCUUCCGCAAUGGACGAAAGUCUGACGGAGCGACGCCGCGUGGUGGAUGAAGCCCUUAGGGGCGUAAACACCUUUUAUGAGGGAGGAAGUUUAUUGACGUUACCUCAUGAAUAAGGGGCUCCCAACUCUGUGCCAGCAGGAGCGGUAAUACAGAGGCCCCAAGCAUUAUCCGGAUUCACUGGGCGUAAAGGGUGCGUAGGCGGUGUUAUUAGUCGGGUGUUAAAUCUUCAGGCUCAACCUGAAAAUCGCAUUCGAAACGGUAACACUAGAAGAAGUCAGAGGUUAGCAGAACUCUCGGUGUAGGGGUGAAAUCCGUUGAUAUCGAGGGGAAUACCAAAUGCGAAGGCAGCUAACUGGGACUUUCUUGACGCUGAGGCACGAAAGCAUGGGUAGCGAAUCGG
rnacentral:rRNA from 1 species